rnacentral:rRNA from 1 species
UACGUAGGGGGCAAGCGUUGUCCGGAGUUACUGGGCGUAAAGCGCACGCAGGCGGUCUCUUAAGUUUGGAGUGACAGUUGGUGGCUUAACUGCCAAAGUGCUUCGAAAACUGAGAGACUUGAGGGCUUCAGAGGGACACGGAAUUCCGGGUGGAGUGGUGAAAUGCGUAGAGAUCCGGAGGAACACCAAAGGCGAAGGCAGUGUCCUGGGGAGUACCUGACGCUCAGGUGC